UUUCCGUAGGUGAACCUGCGGAAGGAUCAUUACAGAGUUCAUGCCCUCACGGGUAGAUCUCCCACCCUCGAAUAUUUAUACCUUAGUUGCUUUGGCAGGCCGUGGAAACACCAUGGGCUCCGGCUUAUGCGUGCCUGCCAGAGGAAACAAUCUCUGUUUUUAGUGAUGUCUGAGUACUAUAUAAUAGUUAAAACUUUCAACAACGGAUCUCUUGGUUCUG
rnacentral:misc_RNA from 1 species